CUAGUCCCACAGCCCCUUCCGUCUUCCCCCUCACCUCCUGCGCCAGAGAAGCAUCCCAGGUCACCAUCGGCUGCCUGGUCCAAGGCUAUUUCCCUGAGCCGGUCACCAUGCAGUGGCGCCCCGACACUAAGGGUGUGAAGAACUACCCCUCCGUGCUGCAAACUUCCACCGGCCUCUACUCACUCAGCAGCCAGGUCACCGUCCCGGCCAGCAACUGGCAAUCCAACACUUAUUACUGUAAUGUCGAGCACCAGCCCACCGGCUCCAGCAUCAGCAAGGAAAUCCCAAAACCCUCCAAACCCCUCUCACCCGCAGUUGAAGGCGAAUUCCCCUGCCCCACCGGUGACAUCAGUGUCUUCAUCGUGCCUCCAUCUCCUUCUGAACUUGCAAGCGGGAGAUCCAAGCUCACCUGCCUGGUGAUCAACCUGCCUAACACAGAUAAACUCAGUGUGAUCUGGACCCAGAAUAAAUUAGGGGGCAAUAUCGCCUAUCCCCUCGCCUUGGAGCCACAGUGCAACCGAACCUACACUGCCUCCAGUUCCCUUCCCAUCACCCGCAAAGACUGGGAGGACAGAAUUACAUACACCUGCACAGUGAAGCACUGGGACCAGACCAUCACAAAUUCCAUCUCGAAGCAGCAAGUGAAGCACUGGGACCAGACCAUCACAAAUUCCAUCUCGAAGCAGCAAGGCUCUUCUCCAAGUGUCUCCCUUCCACCCCCUGCCGCUGAGGAUCUGAGCCGCAAUAGAAACUCCGUCAGCCUCACCUGCCUGGUGCUGGGCUUCUCCCCCGACAAUGUUGAAGUGAACUGGAAGGAGAGCAGCCACUUUGUCACCACCUCACCCGUGAAGGAUGACAACUCAAAAUACUUGGUCUAUAGCAUGUUAACAGUCGACUAUAACAGCUGGAACAGAGGGGACAUCUACACCUGUGAGGUCAACCAUGUAGCUCUGACGUCACCGAUAUCUAAACAAAUCCACAAGGGCUCCGCAGAGGCGACGUCUCUUUCUCCCCCCUGCCCCCCAACAGAGGUGAUCGUAUAUGGAGAGUAUUGCACCGAGGACGGUGACGAAGAGAUCGACAGCCUCUGGAGCACCAUCUCGGUCUUCAUCACCCUCUUCCUCGUGAGCGUGUGCUACAGCGCCACGGUGACCCUAUUCAAGGUGAAGUGGCUUUUUGCCACCGUGGUGCAGCUGAAGCAGGAGACUGGCCCCGAGUACAAGAACGUGAUGCAGCGUGUGGUGUAG